ensembl:lncRNA
AUGGACAUUUUUCAAAUGGACCUUAUAGAGUGGUUUGGGGAGGUAAUUCCUAAUUCUCCUGUGUCUCCGCUGGUUCCAUCCAGCCCUGAAUCUUCUGUGUCUCCGCUGGUUCCGUCCAGCCCUGAAUCUCCUGUGUCUCUGCUGGUUCCAUCCAGCCCUGAUCCUCCUGUGUUCCCUCUCAGCCUCCCUCUCCUGCCUCCUCCUAGACCAGUCAGUUCCUCUGCUCCAUCUCCGCUGGUGCCUGUCAGUCCUUUGGCUCACCCUCAGUCAGUGCCAUCUGGGCGCUCUGGUCCGCCUCAGGACUUCCACUCCGCCUUGGCGCUUAGCUCCCUCGUCUCCACCGUGGCUCGGCAUCCCACCAGCUACACCAGGUUCCCUCGUCCCUCCGGCUCCACCUUGGUCAGUCGUCGACCAUCCGCCGCCUCGGGACUCCAUUCCUCUGGCUUCGCUUCGCCUCGUCACACCAUCCCUCCAGCUCUGUCAGGCUCCUCCUUCCCUCCGGCUCCACCUCCAUCCUCAGUCACUCUGGCUCCGCAGCGGUCUUCCGGUGCCCCACCUCCACCUUGGUCGCCUAAGCCUUCUGCUCCGCCUUGCCCCUCCGGAUCCCCGGUGUCACCCUGGCUCUGCGGCUGCUCUGCUCCAUCCUGGGCUCCUCAUCCAUCGGUGCACUCUCCGUCAGUUGGCCCCCUGGUGUUGUCGGCUCCUCCUCCACCAUGGCUCCUCCUGCCAUCGACUCCACCAUGGGUCAUCAUCCUGGCUGGCCUCUGGAUUACCAUCUGGCUCCUCCUGCUCCGGGCUCCUCCCUGGUUCUUCCCUCCAUCCACUUCACUCCAUGCUCCAUGCUCCAUGCUCCCUCAUGUCUUCUCCCUGUCUCCUCCCUCCAUCUUCGCCACCCAGUCUCCUUCUGUCUUCUCCCUGGCUCCUCCCUCCGUCGUCUCCACCCUGGACACCCGGAAGUUCAUCGUCCGACCGAACCUCCACCUGUAUUGUCUGCCUGCCUUACUGCCAGCCCUUUGCCAUCCCCUGUUACCAUCCCACAUCCACUUCUUUGUCCUCCUCCUAUGUCCCCCUCAAUCCCUCCCUUUUUUCUCUGCGGCUCGAAUUCGCCCCUACUGGGGGGGAGGUGGGGGGCGAAUUGUCAGACCUAUGGACCUGUUUUGUUGUGUUUUCAUUCACCAUGUGUUCACCAUGACCUAG